AAAAACACCUCAGUUCUGCUCACAUUUAUCAAGAGGAGCUUAAAAUGCAGAAUAAAAUGUCGAUGAUUUAUAUUUUGCUAACUAGAAGAAAGGUGUAUCCCAUUGGCAGAUGAGAGCCACUGAAGCUAAGAGGGUGGGGGCAGUAGAAAGGAAAGGUGGGAGAUGGAAGAAACAGAAAUGAGCAGAGGCAUCCCGAGAGCACCACCGGCUGCGCCUCCCUCUCUUCGGGGAGAACUGCUGUGUGGCAGCAAUCAUCCAUAGUUACAGUGCAGGUCCUAGUCACCAGUGAGAAGGCAGCUGUGUUCUCUGUACUCUGUUUACUGAGGCAGAGAGAUGUAUUCUAAGUGUGUGCUAAACUUCAAAAUAUUUUGAUUAAAAUAAUUGUAAUAAAAAUAUCUACAUACAACUGGCCACUGUCAUGGCACCAAAACAUCUUGGAAUACUUAAUAUCUGGGCUUCCAAAGAGUUGAGUUGUUACUGUGAGACUUUGACUCUGUUUACUGAAGAGAUUCUGAAUUGCCUGUCAGUUUUUUCAAGAGUCGCACGUAUGAUUUGUAUGGGUCCCUCAAUUACAGCAGGACACUGCAUGCAGCAUUAUUGGCUGAGGGACGUCCUUGUUGACCAUCGGCAGUGAAGCGUAGUGGAGCAGUUAAGCCAUCUGGGGCUGGGAGGGUGGCAAUUGUGUUUCAUGCUGUGUCAGUGCGUCAUCCCAUUGGACGGGUGGUUGUACCUAAAUUGAGCGUUGUGACACUCUCCUGAGCCUCUGUUGUUUCCUCCCCAGGAGAAGUCCUUGUGUUCCUGGACAGCCACUGUGAAGUGAAUGUGAUGUGGCUGCAGCCCUUGCUGGCCGCCAUCCGUGAGGACCGGCACACCGUGGUGUGCCCAGUGAUUGACAUCAUCAGCGCUGACACGCUGGCCUACAGCUCGUCCCCUGUCGUCCGCGGAGGGUUCAACUGGGGGCUGCACUUCAAAUGGGAUCUUGUCCCCCUUUCUGAGCUACGAGGAGCGGAGGGAGCCACUGCACCAAUAAAGUCACCAACAAUGGCUGGAGGUUUGUUUGCCAUGAACAGACAGUAUUUCCAUGAACUUGGACAGUAUGAUAGUGGCAUGGAUAUCUGGGGAGGAGAAAAUUUGGAAAUAUCAUUUCGGAUCUGGAUGUGUGGCGGUAAGCUCUUCAUCAUCCCUUGCUCUAGAGUAGGACACAUUUUCCGAAAAAGGCGACCAUAUGGAUCUCCCGAAGGCCAGGACACCAUGACACACAACUCUUUGAGGCUGGCACAUGUCUGGUUGGAUGAAUACAAGGAGCAGUAUUUUUCCUUAAGAUCUGACCUGAAGACGAAAAGCUAUGGCAAUAUCAGUGAGCGUGUGGAACUGAGAAAGAAGUUGGGCUGUAAAUCAUUUAAAUGGUAUUUGGAUAAUGUAUACCCAGAGAUGCAGAUAUCUGGGUCCCACGCCAAACCCCAACAACCCAUUUUUGUCAAUAGAGGGCCAAAACGACCCAAAGUCCUUCAACGUGGAAGGGUAAGAAAGCUGUUUUUUCCAAGUGUCUUAUGAAAAGUGUUUGAUAUGAACAGUUUUGAGGUGUCCAUAAGCUAUGACAGGUGACACUGUGGACUUAACAGAGUCUCAUGAUAGACUUCAGCUUGCCUUUCAUUAUAUUCUCUUUAUGGGAACUUCCUCUACGCAAGUGUAGGACCUCAAGUGUAGAUCCUUGCCUUGCCGGUGUAGCUGCCUUCUGUGAGGAUAAGUUAUGUGACGCUUUCCAAGAGCACAGAGGCAUAUGGGAAUACACCCCGGACAAAGUGUCAACUUCGUGUGUCAGAGGCCAGGCCAACAAGUGGAGAAAUGGGGCAGCGAUCUGCUAUUUGCUCUUAGCUCUGGGAACCAAAUCACAGAGCAGAGGUGGUGGUGAGGGUCAGAGUGGGGGCAUGGAUUUCAUGCCUGGUGGUCCCAGAAGUCAUCUGAGCUCAGCAGAAAGCACAUUGAUCAACCACAUUUCCUUAGCUGUCUUUGUGUCUUAAACUCAUUACAGUUAUAUAGUCACAGUUAAAUUGUAGGGGUCCGGCCAUAACAUCAUUCCUUUCUCCUGAGUCAUCUCUUAGAGUUGGCUUCUAAAAGCUAAGGGCAGGUACUGUCUGUGUUGCCCAGUGUCCCUUCUUUUAUGAAGAAGGCAUUUCUCCCAGAACAGUGUCAACUCUCCCUCAGUGGCUAGGAGGAAGCCUAGAGCUUUCCCCCUUCCUCUUCUCUCUACCCUAUAAUAAGACCAAAAAAAAACAAACAAACAAAACCCAGUAUCAAGAUGUUUAGUAUUAGGUGUUUUUCUCUAAGUAAGAGAGAGCAUUGUGUGCCCAUGUAGUUGAUCCCUUACCAUUAUUACUUCUUGCUGUUUGUCUCACCCUCGCAGUUCUGUGAUAGUUGUCACCGGUGUAUCUCCAGUGUAGCAUGCAUAUUGCAUUUCAUUGUGUACUUUUUUAUACAUGUUCUUAUAUCCCUGACUUCAUUUGAAGGUUCUUUAGGGCAGGGAUGACAUUUUAAUUUCCUUCAUCUGCUAUAGAUUAGUAAACAUGUAUAUGUAGCUAGAAUUCCUAGCUGACACUGUCUGCAUGUUGAAAUUGCUAAUAACUUUUGGAGUUAUAACUUUUGUCUAUCUUGAUGCUCCUGUGUUCUGAGGCUAGAAGUUAGGAAUUAAAAAUGCAUAUAUUUUUAUGAGCCUUGGAAUUCGUACCUCCGGAAUAACCUUUCACAUUUUGCCUAGAACCACCUCCAGCCUUGGGAGGCGUCUCUGGGAUUACUUCCCACAUUCUGAGCUGUCGAGUGCCUUCUCUUACAGCUCUGUCACCUCCAGACCAACAAAUGCCUGGUGGCCCAGGGCCGCCCAAGUCAGAAGGGAGGUCUCGUGGUGCUUAAGGCCUGUGACUACAGUGAUCCAAAUCAGGUGAGUGACGCCUCAGGGCUCACAGCCAGUGCCCGCAAGGUGGCUUCCAGUGUAGGGGAGCUGCUGGCAGUCACUCCUGAGGACAUCAGUGUCUACUAUUCUGGCUUUUCUUAACCCAUUUCUGUGUAGUGUUGCGUUAUUGGAACGCUAAGCUUAUGGGGGUUAUCUAUAUCCUAGUGCUCGAGGUCAUCGCCAGGGUCUGAUUUUUCACUGAAAAAAAUUGCAACCUCCGGCAUAAAUGGGUUAAAAGGAAGAGAGUGGCCUUAGAUGACACCUCAGUCAGCUACUUUCAUCUCCUUUGUAUGUUUUUCCUACCUCUGCUCGUUGUCAUAGAGCAUUUUCGUUGUUUACACCAUUAUUUGUACUUUCUAAUAUUAUACGGAAUAAAUUGUGACUUACGAGCCAUAGGAAUUUGUUAGAAAUGGCCAAGGGAAGCACUACAGAAUUUCAGUUCAUUCCAUUCACAUAAUUCAAUUUCAGCUUAUGUAUGUCUCCUAAAUAAUAUUAAAACGGGCCUAAAAAUCAGCAAAUAACUUACUUCAGUUUAGAACAGUAAUUUCAAACUCAUUUAUGUCUGAUAAAAUAGCAUAAUGUAACAGCAGUCUAAUCUCAUAAAUUGUAGUGUCUCAUUUCUAUUUUAGUGGUGGGUUGGUGUCACUCAGAAAUGAAAAAAAAAAAAAAGCCACUUGGGCUUUUUGGUAAAUAAUGUAUACUGUGAAAUUUCAUCAAACAUUCCACCAGAAGAGUUCAUGCCCACUAUCUCAGGUGAUACAUGUGUUGAAAAUGUAGUUUAAAAGGGAUUUCUGGGGCCCAGCGUAGAGGCUCAUGCCUGUAAUCCCAGCACUUUGGGAGGAUGAGGUGGGUGGAUCACAAGGUCAGGAGUUCAAGACCAGCCUGACCAACAUGGUGAAACCCCAUCUCUACU
rnacentral:sRNA from 1 species